rnacentral:rRNA from 1 species
AGAGUUUGAUCCUGGCUCAGGAUGAACGCUGGCGGCGUGCCUAAUACAUGCAAGUCGAGCGAACGGACGAGAAGCUUGCUUCUCUGAUGUUAGCGGCGGACGGGUGAGUAACACGUGGAUAACCUACCCAUAAGACUGGGAUAACUUCGGGAAACCGGAGCUAAUACCGGAUAAUAUUUUGAACCGCAUGGUUCAAAAGUGAAAGACGGUCUUGCUGUCACUUAUAGAUGGAUCCGCGCUGCAUUAGCUAGUUGGUAAGGUAACGGCUUACCAAGGCAACGAUGCAUAGCCGACCUGAGAGGGUGAUCGGCCACACUGGAACUGAGACACGGUCCAGACUCCUACGGGAGGCAGCAGUAGGGAAUCUUCCGCAAUGGGCGAAAGCCUGACGGAGCAACGCCGCGUGAGUGAUGAAGGUCUUCGGAUCGUAAAACUCUGUUAUUAGGGAAGAACAUAUGUGUAAGUAACUGUGCACAUCUUGACGGUACCUAAUCAGAAAGCCACGGCUAACUACGUGCCAGCAGCCGCGGUAAUACGUAGGUGGCAAGCGUUAUCCGGAAUUAUUGGGCGUAAAGCGCGCGUAGGCGGUUUUUUAAGUCUGAUGUGAAAGCCCACGGCUCAACCGUGGAGGGUCAUUGGAAACUGGAAAACUUGAGUGCAGAAGAGGAAAGUGGAAUUCCAUGUGUAGCGGUGAAAUGCGCAGAGAUAUGGAGGAACACCAGUGGCGAAGGCGACUUUCUGGUCUGUAACUGACGCUGAUGUGCGAAAGCGUGGGGAUCAAACAGGAUUAGAUACCCUGGUAGUCCACGCCGUAAACGAUGAGUGCUAAGUGUUAGGGGGUUUCCGCCCCUUAGUGCUGCAGCUAACGCAUUAAGCACUCCGCCUGGGGAGUACGACCGCAAGGUUGAAACUCAAAGGAAUUGACGGGGACCCGCACAAGCGGUGGAGCAUGUGGUUUAAUUCGAAGCAACGCGAAGAACCUUACCAAAUCUUGACAUCCUUUGACAACUCUAGAGAUAGAGCCUUCCCCUUCGGGGGACAAAGUGACAGGUGGUGCAUGGUUGUCGUCAGCUCGUGUCGUGAGAUGUUGGGUUAAGUCCCGCAACGAGCGCAACCCUUAAGCUUAGUUGCCAUCAUUAAGUUGGGCACUCUAAGUUGACUGCCGGUGACAAACCGGAGGAAGGUGGGGAUGACGUCAAAUCAUCAUGCCCCUUAUGAUUUGGGCUACACACGUGCUACAAUGGACAAUACAAAGGGCAGCGAAACCGCGAGGUCAAGCAAAUCCCAUAAAGUUGUUCUCAGUUCGGAUUGUAGUCUGCAACUCGACUACAUGAAGCUGGAAUCGCUAGUAAUCGUAGAUCAGCAUGCUACGGUGAAUACGUUCCCGGGUCUUGUACACACCGCCCGUCACACCACGAGAGUUUGUAACACCCGAAGCCGGUGGAGUAACCUUUUAGGAGCUAGCCGUCGAAGGUGGGACAAAUGAUUGGGGUGAAGUCGUAACAAGGUAGCCGUAUCGGAAGGUGCGGCUGGAUCACCU